AAGACUAUAGACCUGCGGAGUACCUGCGGAAGGAUCAUUACAGAGUUGCAAAACUCCCUAAACCAUUGUGAACGUUACCUAAACCGUUGCUUCGGCGGGCGGCGCGCCCUCGCGCGCGCCCCUGGGCCCCACCGCGGGCGCCCGCCGGAGGUCACCAAACUCUUGAUAUUAAUUGGCCUCUCUGAGUCUUCUGUACUGAAUAAGUCAAAACUUUUAGCAACGGAUCUCUAGAUCGGAAGA
rnacentral:misc_RNA from 1 species